rnacentral:antisense_RNA from 1 species
GAAAGCACACACCAUGCUGGAAAGGAGAGAGAAGGAAAAACCCACUCCUAGCCACACAAUGGUGGAUCUUAAUAUCCAAUGAAAAGAAAAAAUUCUAAUCUAGGUCACACACAAUAACCCAAUAUAAAAUGAACAAGACAUGAUCAAGCAAAUCAAAGAAAAAUGUACAUCAAUAAAUAUGUUAAGACAUGUUCAAUGUUACUGGUGAUCAAGGAAUUUCAAAUCAAGACCAAAAUGGUAUACCAUUUACAACCAUCCCUCUGGCAAAAAUUAAAUACCAAGUGUCAGACAUGAGGUGGCUCAGAGCUCUCCUGUAUUGCUAGUGAAAUGUUAACUGGUUCAACAACUAUGUAAGUCAGCAGGACAUUAUGUCCUAAAAUUGAACAUUCGUGUGCCCUAUGACCUAGUUACUCCACUCAGGUCUAUAUAAAAGAGAAAACCAUGCACAUAUGGAACAUGCACAGCAGAAAAUGUGAAAGAAUAUCUCAUGCUCUUCAGAAGAGCAAAAACCUGGAAAUGACCAAAGGCCCAUCAACAGAAGAGUGGAUAAAUUAACUUCGGCAGAUCCACACAAAAUAUCACAGCAGUCAGAAGGAAUAAACCACAGUGAAAAACAACAAUAUGGUUGAUUUUUAGUAAUAUUACUGUUAUCACUUAAGUCCCAAAAAGUUACACAUAGGAAGAUAACUUAGUUGCAAACACACAGAUUUUUUUUUUUUUUGGAAAUUAGAUACAGUAAAAAAAAAAAAAUUAAUACAAGAUGGGAGCUAAUGAUUACUUCUAGCGAAAAGUGAAAGAGGAAAGAGUAAAACAGAUAGUGGUUACUGCCAAGAUCCUAGAUUUUUGUUGGAAACAGUGCUCGCUACAUUAUACAAAACAACUAAUUUUUUAAAAGGAAAAAGGUUAGUCUAUGGAUUAACACAUGGCUCACUGUACGUGCCAUGAGCUCGGGAUGAUAGCUGAUCCAAUCCCAUAUACACCUGAAGUCUUGGGGCAGGGGCGGACCACGAGUCAGCGCUGCCCCCACAGCACCAGGCUGAUGGCCCCGUGGUUCUUCUGCCUGCAAGCAAAAGUCAGCCACGAUCAUCCUUCUCCAUCUGCAACACCCAGGGUCUUUUCUAAAACUUUUGCCCAGUCGGCUCAGCCAAAAGGACACAGAAGCCCUGCAGAGGCUCUGAAACCAAGCUGCCAUGGCUCCCAGUUCGACAUCAUGUCACCGGAGCCUGCACAGAUGAACCAAGCUUGCAACACGGGAGGAACCUAAGUGCUGGACUGAGGAGCGGGACUGAAAUAAGAAGCGCACACCACAUGGCAAGAUCCAGGACCCAAUCAGAUAGAGCCCUGGUAUCAUCUAAUUGCAAGAUCCAAUCAGAACACACCUCAUUACCUUAUGGUAUUGCCAGACUAUCAGGAGAGACCAUAAAUCAGAUAAAAACAUGAGUUGUAUCCAAAACUCAACCAGGUAUCAUCUUAAAUAUCCAACAGAAUUC